AUUGAACGCUGGCGGCAGGCCUAACACAUGCAAGUCGAGCGAGCGGCGGACGGGUGAGUAAUGUAUGGGGAUAUGCCCGAUAGAGGGGGAUAACUACUGGAAACGGUGGCUAAUACCGCAUAAUAUAGGGUGAACACAUAGUGGAUUAGCUAGUAGGUGAGGUAACGGCUCACCUAGGCCACGAUCCCUAGCUGGUCUGACAGGAUGAUCAGCCACACUGGGACUGAGACACGGCCCAGACUCCUACGGGAGGCAGCAGUGGGGAAUAUUGCACAAUGGGCGCAAGCCUGAUGCAGCCAUGCCGCGUGUAUGAAGAAGGCCUUCGGGUUGUAAAGUACUUUCAGCCGGGAGGCGUUACCGGCAGAAGAAGCACCGGCUAACUCCGUGCCAGCAGCCGCGGUAAUAC
rnacentral:rRNA from 1 species